GCUUAGAAGCAGCCACUCAUUAAAAGAGUGCGUAAUAGCUCACUGGUCGAGUGACUCUGCGCGGAAAAUAUAACGGGGCUAAGCAUGAAACCGAAGCUUGGGCUUGUACUUAGGUACAGGGGUAGGGGAGCGUCGAGUAUGGGGUGAAGUCAGAGCGGAAGCACUGGUGGACUGUACUGGAGUGAGAAUGCCGGAAUGAGUAGCGAGAAUUAUGUGGGAAUCAUAAUGGCCGAAAAUCUAAGGUUUCUUGGGGAAGGUUCGUCCGCCCAAGGUAAGUCGGGAGCUAAGCUCAGGCCGAGAGGCGUAGGCGAUGCACAUACGGUAGAAAUUCCGUAACCACCGAAACUUAAACAGAGGGACACUUCGAAAUAGCGGAACCCGGGCGUUGGUUGACCCGGGCGUAAGGGAGCGAAAUUAGAGUAGCGAAGUCCGCGAUGUUCGGAGGCGAGAAAAGCUCUGAGGUAUGCUAAGGUGCCCGUACCGCAAACCGACACAGGUAGAUGAGGAGAGAAUCCUAAGGCCAACGGGAGAAGGGUUGUUAAGGAACUCGGCAAAUUGACCCCGUAACUUCGGAAGAAGGGGAGCCCCCUACGGGGGGUCGCAGAGAAAUGGCCCAAGCAACUGUUUACCAAAAACACAGGUCUAUGCUAAAUCGAAAGAUGACGUAUAUGGGCUGACGCCUGCCCGGUGCCGGAAGGUUAAGAGGAGAUGUCAGGCAACGAAGCAUUGAAUUUAAGCCCCGGUAAACGGCGGCCGUAACUAUAACGGUCCUAAGGUAGCGAAAUUCCUUGUCAGGUAAGUUCUGACCCGCACGAAUGGCGUAAUGAUUUGGGCACUGUCUCAACAGCCCGCCCGGCGAAAUUGUAGUACUGGUGAAGAUGCCAGUUACCCGCAACUAGACGGAAAGACCCCAUGGAGCUUUACUGCAGCUUAAUACUGAAAUUCGGUAGUACAUGUACAGGAUAGGUGGGAGACUGAGAAAUACAGGCGUCAGCUUGUAUGGAGUCGCUGUUGGGAUACCACUCUUGUACUGCUGGGUUUCUAACCUGCGGCCGUGAAUCCGGUCGGGGGACACUGUUAGGCGGGCAGUUUGACUGGGGCGGUCGCCUCCCAAAAGGUAACGGAGGCGCUCAAAGGUUCGUUCAGCACGGACGGAAAUCGUGCAAUGAGUGUAAACGCAUAAACGAGCCUAACUGCGACACCGACGGGUGGAGCAGUAACGAAAGUUGGAGUUAGUGAUCCGGUGGUAUGUGAGUGGAAAUGCCAUCGCUCAACGGAUAAAAGCUACCCUGGGGAUAACAGGCUGAUCUCCCCCAAGCGUCCACAGCGACGGGGAGGUUUGGCACCUCGAUGUCGGCUCGUCGCAUCCUGGGGCUGAAUUCGGUCCCAAGGGUUUGGCUGUUCGCCAAUUAAAGC
rnacentral:rRNA from 1 species